ACUGGGACAAAAUGCAAUGGCGUGCUCACCGUCACUGGAUUUAGGCAUUAUGCGUGUUAGGCACCAUCAGCCAGAGUGCUGCAUGUGGAAAGGGGACCCCUGUCUCCCACACUGCCAACUCAUACUUACCUGGCAGGGGCGAUACCAUGAUCACGAAGGUGGUUCGCCCAGGGCGAGGCUCAGCCAUUGCACUGCGGUUGUGCUGACCCCUGUGAAUUCCCCACAUGCGGGAAUCUCAACUGCAUAAUUUGUGGUAGUGGGGGACUGCGUUCGCGCUCUCCCCUCACUCUUGUGUCCAAAAGCAAAUGUAGCCGGAGGGGCUACUCGCUUUUCCUUUCUCUUUCGCCCCCACUUGCGCUACUGCUUUCUCUCUCUCUCGCUCUCCUGUGCUUGCUCCCGCUGCGCGCUUACAGGAGCCCACCUGUAUAUUGAUUACAGGGCGGCGUGUACCUGUAUAAAGGGAAGCCGGGUUUUCUCGUUGGAUUAUUUCCUCCCGAGCUUCUGGUGCGAUACAGCGGUAGACGCUGGCUUGUUGGUUAAAUUACUGAGGCGAUCAGGUCAUGUGAUUGCUACAGCGCGGCUGUUUUUCUUUCCUUUGCUCCAGCCGUGGUGAGGAGACGCGUGAGUGCAUCCGCCGUGCAGUACAGCGCCUCCAAGUUCUGGGGGUUUGAUUGCUGCCGUGCCCUCUCGGGGACCAACCGCCUGCUUUGGUUACGUAGAGAGUCGGGCGCCUGCUCUGCUGCUGUCUUGUUUUGUUGAUCUUGUUUGUUUGAUUUUGUUUUGCCCUGUUUUGUUUUGUGUUGUUUUGGUUAUAUUACGGUUAAUCUGUCGGCGGCCCGGUUUUUCCUUGUAGCUUGCCUUGCCACGCCCUCUUGGACUAUCGUUUGCUCCAGCUUUUUGUGGCUGGCCGGGGCGAUUCUCGGCUGUAUAUUGGGCUGGUUAUACAAACUGGUACUGCCUCUCCCCUUUCUCCCAGCUGUGGGAAGUUGUGUGAGACCGAGCAGACCAAGGACAAUCGGACCCAGCACCAGCUGUGGGCUGGUUCGCCGAGCGAAAGUAUUUCUAACCAGUGCUCUGUGGUGUAUAUCUGGGUGUGUUGUAUCACAGACUUUGGUUUUCCUUUAAUUGUUUCUUUUUUUUGUUUUGUAGGUUGAGAGCCUGUUUGUGUCCCAUGUUUUUCACCUUUUAAUGUGUAUGUUCUGUAUUUUUAUUGUAGUGGACGGAGGAUCUACCAGCGGCUGUGGGACCGUAGGUGGUGGGUCGUUUUCCACGCUUCUUUUGUUGUACAGCACCAGGUGAAAAGACUGUAGUAGGUUUCCUUUGUGUGGUUUUGUUUUGGUCCACCACUGCUGGUAAUCCCCGGUUGUAUAUAUAUUCUUUCUUGUAAACUGGGACGCUGUUUUAGAUAUUCAGUGUGUUGUUGUUUUUUUCAUGUUAUAUAAUAAAUUCAAUUGUGUCCAUAUUUGAACCGGCCUCACCGUGCAUCCCUGAACCUGUGCGAACGUAAUUGUCCUAACUACAUUUUAUUUUUCUUUCAGUUUGUAUUUCCUGGGGGCUAGCCUUUCCCCCCAGGUGGCGUUGUCAAUAUUUUUCUCCAUUCUUGUAGAACCCCGCCGACCACUUGGUCACACAAAGAUCCAUGUGUCUGCUCUUCUCUCUGUCUGGCCAUUGAACUGGGACAAAAUGCAAUGCCGUGCUCACCGUCACUGGAUUCAGGCAUUAUGCGUGUUAGGCACCAUCAGCCAGAGUGCUGCAUGUGGAAAGGGGACCCCUGUCUCCCACACUGCCAACUCACACAGACCCACCAUGAUGACAUCGGCUGCUAAUAUGACAGGUUCCAGGAGGAACGCUGUGCGAUUUGAGAUGCAAGGCAAUUGCAAAAUGGAUCGGCUACAGUUUAGUAGGAUAAUCAUCCAGAAAGAGUUGGGAUUCUCGCUGACGCAGAUUGACUGUAUCUUUGGCUUGUCAGGAAAGAGAAGUUACG